CAAUUUGAAAAUUCAAUCCAAUGUCCAUCUUAAAUUCUGAAGUUACCAUGGAUGUAAUUAUUUAGUGAUGAAUAACACCACUUAAUUUGCAAAUACAUGUAGUGUCAUGAUGCGUAGUCUGUUAAGUUAAAUGUGUGCUUUGGUUGCAAAUAAUAGCCAAAUAAUAAAUGGCCAAUAAAAUCAUUUUAAC
rnacentral:misc_RNA from 1 species